GAGGCGGCAGGCAGGGGGUCAGGCUCCCCAAGGAACCUGAGGCCUUCCAUGCCUGAAGCAGGCCUUCUCGGCAAACCUGUUUUAAGGCUUCACAUCAGGGAAACAAAGAUGGCUUCCCUCAGAGUCAUUUGGGGAGUGCAGGACGGAUGGCUUGACCUUUCACCUCCCGGCUUCUCUCGGAUUUCUUCUCUACCUGCUGCCUGUCAGCAGCUGUCCUGCAAAGACCACCACUUAGCUGCAGGAGAACCCUGUCUCGGCUCUCUCUCUCACCGGUGGAGAUCAAAAGCUGUGAAAUCCCGCUGCUGUGUGGCCUCCAGGCCGGGAGCCCUUCUCAUGGCCCCUGUGCUGGAGGCCGAGCUGACUCAGCGCUUGCUGCAAGCCCAGCGUCUCGCUGCAGAACCCAUCCAGAGCUCUAUGGGCUCCAACGUGCCCUGUGACUCGAUGGGAGGUGAACAGAGCUUGUCCGGACUCUGACAUCUUCAAGACCCCCAGGCACAGUUGGCCUGUCCUCUUGCCCCUUUCUGUGACCAAUGGGGAACAAUGCUGGGCUCUCACAGAAUCCCCCAGGCCAGAGAGAGACCCAGUUCCAUUCCCUGUCAGGGGAGGUGACCUCAAAUUUCAAACAAACACUUGAUAAUAAAAAGCCAAAUUAAAAA